rnacentral:rRNA from 1 species
AGAGUUGAUCAUGGCUCAGGAUGAACGCUAGCUACAGGCUUAACACAUGCAAGUCGAGGGGCAGCAUUGGAGUAGCAAUACUUCAGAUGGCGACCGGCGCACGGGUGAGUAACACGUAUCCAACCUGCCGCUUACUCGGGGAUAGCCUUUCGAAAGAAAGAUUAAUACCCGAUGGUAUAAAGAGUUCGCAUGUUCUCUUUAUUAAAGAAUUUCGGUAAGCGAUGGGGAUGCGUUCCAUUAGAUAGUUGGCGGGGUAACGGCCCACCAAGUCUACGAUGGAUAGGGGUUCUGAGAGGAAGGUCCCCCACAUUGGAACUGAGACACGGUCCAAACUCCUACGGGAGGCAGCAGUGAGGAAUAUUGGUCAAUGGACGCGAGUCUGAACCAGCCAAGUAGCGUGAAGGAUGACUGCCCUAUGGGUUGUAAACUUCUUUUAUAAGGGAAUAAAGUGAGGGACGUGUCCCUUUUUGUAUGUACCUUAUGAAUAAGGAUCGGCUAACUCCGUGCCAGCCGCAGC